rnacentral:lncRNA from 1 species
UUCACUAAGGAAAUCUCUUUACCACGCAAUUGCUUCACUUCCCGAUCCCCUAUCCGCAUGGGUGAUGCCUCAACAUUCAGGUUAUCUCUCACCGGCACAUCAUCCACUUGAAUCACAUGAGACAAAUCCAGAAUGUAUCUCCUCAAUUGAGACACAUGAAACACAUCAUAAAGAUUAGCAAGCGGCGACGACAAAGAAAUCUGAUA